AAUUUAUUAGUUUAAAAAAAAAACAUUAUAUUUUCAAUGUAAAAAUAAAUUUCUAAUUUAUAAAUUA
rnacentral:tRNA from 1 species